rnacentral:rRNA from 1 species
CAGCAGCCGCGGGAAUACGUAGGUGGCAAGCGUUGUCCGGAAUUAUUGGGCGUAAAGGGCUCGCAGGCGGUUUCUUAAGUCUGAUGUGAAAGCCCCCGGCUCAACCGGGGAGGGUCAUUGGAAACUGGGAAACUUGAGUGCAGAAGAGGAGAGUGGAAUUCUACGUGUAGCGGUGAAAUGCGUAGAGAUGUGGAGGAACACCAGUGGCGAAGGCGACUCUCUGGUCUGUAACUGACGCUGAGGAGCGAAAGCGUGGGGAGCGAACAGGAUUAGAGACCCCAGUAGUCCCUGUCUCUUAUAC